AUUGAACGCUGGCGGCAGGCCUAACACAUGCAAGUCGAACGGUAACAGGAAGAAGCUUGCUUCUUUGCUGACGAGUGGCGGGCGGGUGAGUUAUGUCUGGGAAACUUCCUGAUGGAGGGGGAUAACUACUGGAAACGGUAGCUACUACCGCAUAACGUCGCAAGACCAAAGAGGGGGACCUUCGGGCCUCUUGCCAUCGGAUGUGCCCAGAUGGGAUUAGCUAGUAGGUGGGGUAACGGCUCACCUAGGCGACGAUCCCUAGCUGGUCUGAGAGGAUGACCAGCCACACUGGAACUGAGACACGGUCCAGACUCCUACGGGAGGCAGCAGUGGGGAAUAUUGCACAAUGGGCGCAAGCCUGAUGCAGCCAUGCCGCGUGUAUGAAGAAGGCCUUCGGGUUGUAAAGUACUUUCAGCGGGGAGGAAGGGAGUAAAGUUAAUACCUUUGCUCAUUGACGUUACCCGCAGAAGAAGCACCGGCUAACUCCGUG
rnacentral:rRNA from 1 species